rnacentral:rRNA from 1 species
ACGGAGGGUGCAAGCGUUGUCCGGAAUAAUUGGGCGUAAAGCGUUCGUAGGCGGCAUACCAAGUCUGGUGUUAAAGCCCGAGGCUCAACCUCGGUACGGCACUGGAUACUGGUAAGCUAGAAUACGGGAGAGGUGAAGGGAAUUCCUGGUGUAGCGGUGAAAUGCGUAGAUAUUAGGAGGAACAUCGGUGGCGAAGGCGGCUCACUGGGCCGUUAUUGACGCUGAGGAACGAAAGCGGGGGGAGCAAAGGG